rnacentral:lncRNA from 1 species
UCUAACUCAAGCGGCCUUCCAAGGGGGAAGGAAGCUAGAGGAUAAGUGUGCUAAGAAGGCACAAUGCAUUGAACUCGAGAGAAGUGGCUAAAAAUUCAAUUCAGCAGCAAUUCACUAUAUCACUCAAGUUCAAUUUACAAUGGUAUGAGUCUCCCUUUUAUAGAUGAGUAGAGGACUCUAAAAGUGUCUAGCAAGCUAUUAAA